GACAGAGGGGGCAAGCGUUGCUCGGAAUUACUGGGCGUAAAGGGCGCGUAGGCGGCCAACUAAGUCAGACGUGAAAUCCCUCGGCUUAACCGGGGAACUGCGUCUGAUACUGGAUGGCUUGAGUUUGGGAGAGGGAUGCGGAAUUCCAGGUGUAGCGGUGAAAUGCGUAGAUAUCUGGAGGAACACCGGUGGCGAAGGCGGCAUCCUGGACCAACACUGACGCUGAGUGAGCGAAAGCCAGGGGAGCAAACGGG
rnacentral:rRNA from 1 species